rnacentral:rRNA from 1 species
GACAGAGGGUGCAAACGUUGCUCGGAAUUACUGGGCGUAAAGCGUGCGCAGGCGGUUGUGCAAGACAGAUGUGAAAUCCCCGGGCUUAACCUGGGAAUUGCAUUUGUGACUGCACGGCUAGAGUGUGUCAGAGGGGGGUAGAACUCCACGUGUAGCAGUGAAAUGCGUAGAUAUGUGGAGGAAUACCGAUGGCGAAGGCAGCCCCCCUGGGAUAACACUGACGCUCAUGCACGAAAGCGUGGGGAGCAAACAGG